AGAGUUUGAUCCUGGCUCAGGAUGAACGCUAGCUACAGGCUUAACACAUGCAAGUCGAGGGGAAACGAUAUUGGAAGCUUGCUUCCGAUAGGCGUCGACCGGCGCACGGGUGAGUAACGCGUAUCCAACCUGCCCACCACUUGGGGAUAACCUUGCGAAAGUAAGACUAAUACCCAAUGAUAUCUCAAGAAGACAUCUGAAUGAGAUUAAAAGAUUUAUCGGUGAUGGAUGGGGAUGCGUCUGAUUAGCUUGUUGGCGGGGUAACGGCCCACCAAGGCGACGAUCAGUAGGGGUUCUGAGAGGAAGGUCCCCCACAUUGGAACUGAGACACGGUCCAAACUCCUACGGGAGGCAGCAGUGAGGAAUAUUGGUCAAUGGGCGAGAGCCUGAACCAGCCAAGUAGCGUGCAGGAUGACGGCCCUAUGGGUUGUAAACUGCUUUUAUAAGGGAAUAAAGUGAGUCUCGUGAGGCUUUUUGCAUGUACCUUAUGAAUAAGGACCGGCUAAUUCCGUGCCAGCAGCCGCGGUAAUACGGAAGGUCCGGGCGUUAUCCGGAUUUAUUGGGUUUAAAGGGAGCGUAGGCCGGAGAUUAAGCGUGUUGUGAAAUGUAGAUGCUCAACAUCUGCACUGCAGCGCGAACUGGUUUCCUUGAGUACGCACAAAGUGGGCGGAAUUCGUGGUGUAGCGGUGAAAUGCUUAGAUAUCACGAAGAACUCCGAUUGCGAAGGCAGCUCACUGGAGCGCAACUGACGCUGAAGCUCGAAAGUGCGGGUAUCGAACAGGAUUAGAUACCCUGGUAGUCCGCACGGUAAACGAUGGAUGCCCGCUGUUGGUCUGAAUAGGUCAGCGGCCAAGCGAAAGCAUUAAGCAUCCCACCUGGGGAGUACGCCGGCAACGGUGAAACUCAAAGGAAUUGACG
rnacentral:rRNA from 1 species